GGGCACAUGGUGUAGUUGGUUAUCACAUCCGCUUAGCAUUUUACGCUUAUGCGGGGGGUGCUGGGUUCAAUUCCCAGUGUGUCCA
rnacentral:tRNA from 1 species